GACGAACGCUGGCGGCGUGCUUAACACAUGCAAGUCGAACGGAAAGGCCCUGCUUUUGUGGGGUGCUCGAGUGGCGAACGGGUGAGUAACACGUGAGUAACCUGCCCUUGACUGUGGGAUAACUUCAGGAAACUGGGGCUAAUACCGGAUAGGAGCUCCUGCUGCAUGGUGGGGGUUGGAAAGUUUCGGCGGUUGGGGAUGGACUCGCGGCUUAUCAGCUUGUUGGUUGGGUAGUGGCUGACCAAGGCUUUGACGGGUAGCCGGCCUGAGAGGGUGACCGGCCACAUUGGGCCUGGGAUACGGCACAGACUCCUACGGGAGGGAGCGGUGGGGAAUAUUGCACAAUGGGCGGAAGCCUGAUGCAGCAACGCCGCGUGCGGGAUGACGGCCUUCGGGUUGUAAACCGCUUUCGCCUGUGCCGAAGCGUGAGUGACGGUAAUGGGUAAAGAAGCACCGGCUAACUACGUG
rnacentral:rRNA from 1 species